rnacentral:rRNA from 1 species
UAACCCGAUCAUCGGACAAAAGCUACGCUAGGGAUAACAGGCUAACACGCUCUUAGAGUACCUAUCGAUGGGCGUACGAGGCACCUCGAUGUUGGAUCAUCGCGUCCUGUGGCUUGCAGAAGGUCAUAAGGGUUGGACUGUUCGUCCAUUAAAGCGGUACGUGAUCUGAGUUCAGAACGUCGUGAGACAGUUCGGUUUCUAUCUUUGUUAACGAAAGGAGAUUUUCCUGAGCAAAAGUUACCGUUGGGAGCGAGUACGAAAGGACCAAAUUCCUAAAAACCUCUGGUGCAUUUGUUGUCUUUAUUAGGCAUAGCAAAAAAGCUACGUUUUUAAAGGUAAGAUUGCUUUAAAUUCAAUUACAUCGAAUGAACC